CAAGCAAGGAAGGAGGAAGCAGGCAGCAGACCCUCUGCCCAGACCAGACCAUCCAGAACAGCUAUUGCUAGACUGAAAGCAUAUUUUGCAGUUUACAAGGAAGUGCAAUCUACCUGUUCUCACAAGAGAAAAAGAGAUAGUUCUCCAAGAUUCUGUUUCAGUAAGGAACAUCACAACUGUUGCUUUUCAGGAACAUCACAAUUGUUGCAAUUCAGGAAAUGUGAAACAUCACCAAUGUGGAAAUAGAC